rnacentral:tRNA from 1 species
UCCCUGAUGGUCCAGUGGUUAGGACUCUGCACUUGCUCUGCAGGAAGCAUGGGUUCAGUCCUGGUCAGGGAA